UUUUGCAAAAACAAGAAAACCUGUAAAUUCUAUUAUGGACCCACGAAUCUCUCUCUCAUUUUUCUUUCCUUUUUUUCUUUGGUAAUUCUUACGUUCCCUCCGCAGAUCUCGCAACUAAACACCAAGACAGAGAAGAAGAAGAAAAAAACAGAACAAUAUCUGUUUUUUCUUUCUUUCUUUUUCUUUUCUCCCCUCUGUUUUUCUUCUUGGUAACUCUGUUUUGUUUUAUUUCUCCUUCAUUUUUCCCCAGGUUAAAAUGGUUCAACUUUUGUUCUAAUGUGGGAAUGAUUUACCAUUUUUGACCCAGACCUGUUUUUCUUGAUCUGGGUCAAUCUUGGUUUUUUUUUUUUCGAGCUGAACAAAUGGGUUGUAUUACCUCCAAACAUGGCGGCGGUAGACCGGUGACAGAUUCCCCUGUUCCAGUGGUUCGUAAAAACGGCCAUGGUUUUACAUUAUCAUCUUCAUCAUCGAAACAUCAACCUGAGAGGUUAGAGGUUGAUAAAGAUGAUGAGAAAUUGGGUGAAAAUGGUAAAAUUAUUAACCCAAAGAAAAGCAGAGAUUUGAGGAAAUCUAAAAGGGAUGGUUCAGGGAGAAAGAGCGGUUCUUUUAGCUUCAAACUUGGCUUUUCUCAAAGGUUUGUGGAGGCUGAACAAGUCGCCGCCGGUUGGCCUGCUUGGCUUAGCUCUGCCGCUGGUGAAGCCGUUCACGGUUGGGUUCCUUUGCAGGCUGAUGCUUUUGAGAAACUCGACAAGAUCGGACAAGGCACGUACAGUAACGUGUUCAAAGCACGCGAAGUCGAAACCGGAAGGUUGGUUGCUUUGAAGAAGGUGCGGUUCGACAACUUUCAACCCGAAAGCAUUCGGUUUAUGGCUCGAGAAAUAACGAUCCUACGUAGGCUGAACCAUCCUAAUGUCAUGAAAUUAGAAGGGGUGAUCACAUCAAGGUUUUCAAGUACUAUAUACCUUGUAUUUGAGUACAUGGAACAUGAUCUUGCUGGUUUAUCAUCUUGUCCUGAUAUCAACUUCACUGAGGCUCAGGUGAAAUGCUAUAUGAAGCAGCUAUUAAUGGGGUUAGAGCAUUGCCAUUUGCGAGGUGUAAUGCAUAGAGACAUCAAAGCAUCCAACAUAUUGGUGAACAAUCAAGGAAUUUUGAAGUUAGGGGAUUUCGGAUUAGCAAACAUCUUAACUUCAAAGAACAAAAACCAGUUAACUAGCCGAGUCGUCACUCUCUGGUAUCGCCCACCCGAGCUUUUGAUGGGAUCUACAAGUUAUGAAGUCUCGGUGGAUUUAUGGAGUGUUGGUUGUGUUUUUGCUGAAGUUCUUAUGGGGAAACCUAUUCUUAAAGGCAGAACUGAGGUUGAACAACUGCAUAAAAUCUUCAAACUAUGUGGUUCACCACCAGAUGAGUACUGGAAAAAAAUGAAGCUUCCUCAUUCGACCAUGUUUAAACCCCAACAUCCUUACGAAAGUUGUCUCCAACAAAGGUGUAAAGACAUCCCUUCAACUGCAUUGGACUUGUUGGAAAUCCUUCUUUCUGUUGAACCCCAUAAGCGUGGAACUGCAUCUUCAUCUCUCAUGUCCGAGUAUUUCCAUACGAAACCCUUCCCUUCCGACCCUUCAAGCUUGCCCAAGUAUUCGCCUAAUAAAGAAAUCGAUGCCAAACAGCGAGAUGAUUUGCGAAGGAAGAAGUUAGGAGGAGUUAGAGAUCCAGGAGUGACAAGAAAAACAAGAAGACCACGUAAAACAUUGCAGGAAGCUAACAAUCUCAAUAAAACAAUAACGAAGGAGGACCUACGGGAUAAUGCUCGAUUCGGUGGCAAAAACCAGGGAAUUACUGCAAAUAAUCCGAAACCCAAGGAUGGAAUUGUUCAUCUGAAUCAACCGGCGUUCGAUACAAGAUCGGAGACAUCUCAAUUGACAACGAUGUCACAAGGCGAUAUUGUCACCGCUCCGCCACCGGUAAUCACUGGAUCCAACAGCUUUUCAUGGGCGAAGAAACGGAAAGAUGCGAAAUCUACGCUUUCUUAUAACCAACCUAGUUCGAUCAGUCAAAUCAGUGAUCAAGAUUCAUCGAGCUUCAUCUUCUCAAAUACGAACAACAUUUUCAAUUCAUCUACACAAGAGAACCAAAAUGUUUCUGAAGGUGUUCAUACUGAUUCUAGGAAGCUCAAAGCCGCAGACGGAUCAGAAAAGCUUGAUUUUUCUGGUUUAAUUGAUCAACAAGCACAAAACAAGUUUGAGAAAUCAGAUUUCUUUGACGCCAUUGAUGGGUUUCGUCAUGAAGAAAUGAUGACUAAACACAAUAACAAGUUGAAAGUUGGGUGUUCGGGACCAUUAGUCUUUGAAUCCGAUCAAGUUGAUGAACUCCUACAAAGGAAUGAAAACCAUAUCCGCAUUGAGCUCGUGUUCAAAUAGCUUGAGUUAUCAAGCAUGAUGAAUUCCAAGGAUAACCGUGCUAAAAGUCGGAUUGCAUUUUACCCCUCUACUUAAAAUUGGAGAAAUGAAGCAAAAGGGUUACCGUUAUCUUUCAAGGGAAAAGCUUUAGGCAUAGAGAGCAAGAAGGGGGUUGAAGUUUGAAGCAAGCAAAGCUUGAAUUUAAUGAUGAUAUUGCCAUUUGACUUAUUUUAUAUGCCAAAAAUUCAAUUGUAUAAAGAAAAAAGAAAAAAGAAAAAAGAAAAGAGAUUGUAUAUUCAAUAUUGAGCUAUGAUUUUAUAAAAUUGAAUCCUUCAAAUGACCAACAAA